CCUGUGAUCUGAGCGAGUAAAGCUCCAAAGCACAGAGACCUCCCCCAGAGCCAGUCUGCCAUCUUACCCCCAGGAAGGUCUUCUCCAUGCUGCAGCUGCUGAUGUUUCUGAAGUAUGAGCCCAACCUCAUCUUCCUCUUCUGAAAUGAUCACAACUCGCCAUGUCAAGAUCUAAGAGGGACUGAUGACUACAGGGCACCAUGCCAGGCAGGAGGAGGCAGACUGUGUCCUCCAGAACCCCAAGCCCAGUAAUGGAGGGGAUAAGGCAGAUGAUAGGUCAUCUCCAGUACAGCAGUUCAAGGUAUGGUCUGGAGACGUCUGCAGGUCCUGGAGAACUUUGCAGGGUAUGUGUUAUCAAACUUCUUUUCAUAACGAGACUAAGACUUUAUUUUAUUUCUCAUUCUCUCAGAAGUGUACAGUGGAUUUCCCCAGAGGACAUAUGAUGGGUGAUAUCACAAUACUGAAAGCAGAAGGAGAUGUGAGAAUGUAUUUGCAGUCUAUAAAGUUAGACACUAGGGGAGAUUUAGAAAAAGGUAAAAUUAUGCCAUCCUUCUCACUGAACAGUUUUUUACUUUGGAAAAUGUAA
rnacentral:lncRNA from 1 species